GAACUGAAUCACUUUCCUGUACAGCAUUAACACAACAUUGUAAAUCAACUAUAUUUCAAUUAAAAAUUAAAAUUUAAAAAUCACCUUUUUCUCAUCCACACAGGAUAAGAUUUAAAAAUUAUAUUUCUAUGUUCAUAGCUUUACUGAGAAAACAUUAAAUUCGAAUGUUAAUUGAUGCUCUUUAUUCUUCCAGGUAACACACUAGUUGAAGUAUGGGCUCCUGAGAUACCCAGCUUCACAAGGACUGUUUAGCACUGACAAAGGAAAAGGGAAGACAUGAAAGUUUUCUAUAUUUUUGGGGGGGGGAGAAAUAUUUUUUUAAUACAUUUCUUUCCUUCGUUCCUCCCUUCCUCCUUUCCUUCUGGCUGCGUUGGGUCUUUGUUGCUGUGUGCGGGCUUUCUCUAGUUGUGGUGAGCGGGGGCUACUCUUUGUUGCGGUGAGUGGGCUUCCCACUGCGGUGGCUUCUCUUGUUGCGGAGCACAGGCUCUAGGCGUGUGGGCUUCAGUAGUUGUGGCACAUGGGCUCAGUAGUUGUGGCGCACGGGCUUAGUUGCUCCGCGGCAUGUGGGAUCUUCCCGGACAAGGGGUUGAUCCCAUGUCCGCUGCAUUGGCAGGCAGAUUCUUAACCACUGUGCCACCAGGGAAGUCCUGAAAGCUUUCUAUUUUGCAGUAAGUUUUUGCCCAUAGUUUGAAAGCUUUCUGUUUUUCCCAUAAUUUAGAGAUGAUUCAUAUUUCAUUCCAUAAGAAGUCAAAAUAUUUCACCUUCAAAACGCUGCAAGCAUUCUCUUUAGAAAAUUAACUUAUUUCAAUAUUCAUCAUGCCCAGGGGGGCAUAGUGGAGUUAUAAGAACAAAGGCUUAUGCAUCAGAGAGCCCAGGGUUCAAAUCCUGGCUUUGCCACUUCCUGCUAUGACCUUUCGCAUAUGUCAUUCACCCCCAUUUAGGCUCUGCUUCAUCAAUGAAAAGGGGAUAAAACGACCUUCUUUCAAAAUUAUGAUAAGAAUUAGUGACGUUAGUAGGUUUCCAGACACACAGCAGAUACUCAGUAAGUGAUUUUAGUAUGAAUUAAAAUAUCAUCGUUGGUUUAGAUGCUGUCCUACCUUUUCAUCAUAAAGACACUUCAAAUAUUUGGUUUUCUGUCCUCUUAGGUAAUAGGAAGCUUUCAGAAUGCGUUUACUCUGAUCACGCUCUCUGGUCUUACCUUGUUUCUUUCUGGUAUUUUUAUUUUAUUCUGCUUUUAACUCCCUUAAAGAAUUCAUUAGGAUUGACGCUUACUUACAGUUUUCUGGAAAACACGACUACCAAUUUAUUUUUCUCACCAUCGCUUCACAUACUCUGCUUCUUCCUCCUAGGUUUAUUAUACUUCUUAGCAAAUUUUUUUUCAUUUUUAAAUUUUGAAAUAAUUCCAGAUUCACAGAAAGUUGGAAAGAAAUAUACAGAGAGGUCCCAUGCACCCUUCCCCUGCUUCCACCAAUGAUAACAUCUUGUAUAAUAACAAAACCAGGCCACUGGCGUUGGAACCACCCACAGCGCUUACUCAGAUUUACACGUGUGUGUGUAAUUCUAUGAAAUUUAACUCUGUGUAACUACUACCCCAAUCACAAUACAUAAUUGUAUCAUCGUAACAAGUCCCUCUCAUGCUACCCCUUUGUAGAAACCCCUUAACCCCUGGCAACUACUAAUCUGUUCCCCAUUUGUAUAAUUGUAUUUAAAUAGUGUUUUAUAUAAAUGGAAUAGUACCUUUAGAAAUUGGUGCUCCCCUCCCCACACACAGACACUGAAGAAUUCCCUUUAGGUACAUCCAAGAUGUUGCAAGAAACAACAGUUUGUCCCUUGUUACGGCAGCAGUAUUCCAUGGUAUGGAGGUCCUGCAUUUUACUUACUAUUCGCCCACUGAAGGACAUUUGCAUCGUUUCCAGCUGUUGGUAUUACAAACAAAGCUGCUGUUAACAUCCAUGUACAAGUUUCUUGGUGAAUAUAAGUAUUCAUUUUCCUGAGAUAAAAGCCAAAUACUGUAAUUGCUGAGUCAUACUAUAAGUCCAUUUUUAGUUUUAAAAGAAACUGUAAAACUGUUUUCCAGAGUGACUGGACCAUUUUACAUUCCCACCAGCAAUGUAUGAGUGACCCAGUUUAUCUGCAUCCUUGUUAACACUUGGUGUUAUCAUUAUUUUAAAUUUCAACCACUCUGACAUAUGUGUAGUGAUAUCUCUGCACUACAUUUAAAUCUGCACUUCCCAAAAAGCUAACGAGGAACAUAUUUCCAUGUCCUUAUUUACUAUUCGUACAUCCUUUCCAGUUGAAAUGUCUCUUACCGUAUUUUGUCCAUUUUCUAAUUGGAUUGUUUGAUUUUUUUACUGUUGAGUUUGAGUUCUUUGUAUAUUUUAAAUAUUAGUCCUUUGUCAGUUACAUGACUACAAAUAUUUUUCUCCCAGAUUGUAACUUACAUUUUCAUCUUAACAGGGUCCAUUUUUUUGGACACUUUUUUGGAUAAGGUCUAUUUUAUCAGUUUUUCUUUUUAUGGAAUGUGCUUUUGGUGUCACGUGUAAGAACUCUUCACAAAGCUCCGAGUCCUGAAUAACAUCUCUUAUCUUCUUCUAAAGCUUCCAGGUGUCUGCUGUUAGUAUACAGAAAUGCAGUUGAGUUUGUAUGUUAAUCCUGGAUCCUGUGACCUUGCUGAACUCACUUAUUCUACACGAGCCUGUUGAUAUGGCAGAUUACACUGAUUGUAUUUCAAACACGGAACCAGCCUGGCAUACCUGGAACAAAUCCCACUCAGUGGUGAUGUAUACAUUUUUGGAUCUGAUUUGCUAAUAUUUUGUUGAGGAUUUUUGUGUGAAAUACAUAUGCUACUAGUUCUUUCAGCCAGAGCCUGUGAAUGUUAAAUACUCUUAAUCCAUUUACCUGAAAAUGUCUUCUUUUUGCCCUCACUCUUAAGUAAUAAUUUUGCCAGUUAAAGAAAUAUUCAUUAAAAAUGAUAUUUUCCCCAGGCUUUUGAAGAUAUUAUUCCACUGUUUUCUGACUUCUUCUUGCUUUCUCUCUUCAGUAUAGUGGUUUAGCAUGUGGGCUCUGCAGACAGACUGCCAGGGCUCAGAUCCCGGUUUUGCUGUACCAUGUGUUAGAUUCGCAUAUCUGGCAUAGAGUGAGUGCUUAGUAAAUAUUAGCUGCUAUGGUGAUUUCUUAUACGUAAGCCUCCUUCAUUAGACCCCCUGCAUGGCAGGGAUCUUUCUUACUCUAAUUUCAAAACACCCACAGAAUCCAAAUUCUUCUCACCGCUUCCACUGCUAAACUUCUCAUCUCCCCACACUAUGCCAAGACUCCUAACUGGUCUUCGCAACAUGUGCCCAGGCCCCCUUUAGUCUAUUCCAAACCCAGCAGCCACAAUACAAUCUUUAAAAUGGGAGCAGUGCCACUGCUCAUAAUUCGGCAAUACAGCCAUUCCCAUCACGAUGAGGACAGCGUAGCCCAAGCCUUUGCUGUUGUCCAAGCCCUAUACUGUUCGGCUCCCGUGGCUUCUCCAACCUCAUUCCCUACUCCUCUGUUACAGAGUGACUCCAAUCACAGUGUCUCCUUGCUGUUCCCUGAACGCUCUUGGUGUGCCCUUUGCUCAAAGUCUUUGCAUUGGCUGAUCCCUAUGCCUGGAAUUCUCCUCCCCCAGACAUCUGUGCGGCUCACAUCUUCACGUGCUCUGGAUCAUGGCUCACAUGCCACUUCCUCAGUGAUGCUCUCCCUGUCCAUCCUUUUCAGAAUGACAACUCUUAACACCGUCAUCUCUUCAGCACUCCCUAUACCCCUGCCCCUAUUUUAUUUUUCUCCUUAGUAUUUAUACCAUCUAUUCUCUAUUUUAUUUGUUUAUUCUCCGCCUCUCCCAACAGAAUAGAAGCUCUAGAAGAUCAGGGGGUUGUGACUCUUUUGCUGAUUGCACCCAGGGCUGUCUUAGUAGCAACUCAUACGCGGGCCUGUCACUGCUGUGGCCUCCCCCGUUGCGGAGCACAGGCUCCGGACGCCCAGGCCCAGCGGCCAUGGCUCACGGGCCCAGCCGCUCCGCGGCACGUGGGAUCCUCCCGGACCGGGGCACGAACCCGCGUCCCCCGCAUCGGCAGGCGGACUCCCAACCACUGCGCCACCAGGGAAGCCCUACAGCAAUUAUUCUUAUCCUAAUUUUCCUGGCACACAUAUUAUGCCCAACUGCUACUUGUAUUAAUUCUUGUUUUAAAGGUUCUUAUAUACUAUUACUGUUUUAAGUUCUUAUAUAC